rnacentral:rRNA from 1 species
CAGCCGCCGCGGUAGGACGGAGGAUGCAAGCGUUAUCCGGAAUGAUUGGGCGUAAAGCGCGCGUAGGCGGUUACUCAAGUCAGAGGUGAAAGCCCGGGGCUCAACCCCGGAACUGCCUUUGAAACUAGGUGACUAGAAUCUUGGAGAGGUCAGUGGAAUUCCGAGUGUAGAGGUGAAAUUCGUAGAUAUUCGGAAGAACACCAGUGGCGAAGGCGACUCACUGGACUGGUAUUGACGCUGGGGCACGAAAGCUAGGGGAGCAAACAGGAUUAGAUACCCCAGUAGUCCCUGUCUCUUAUAA